rnacentral:rRNA from 1 species
UGGGGAAUAUUACACAAUGGGGGAAACCCUGAUGCAGCAACGCCGCGUGAGUGAUGAAGGUUUUCGGAUCGUAAAGCUCUGUCUUUGGGGAAGAUAAUGACGGUACCCAAGGAGGACGCCACGGCUAACUACGUGCCAG